rnacentral:lncRNA from 1 species
AACGAUCCAUGAUUCAAUAUGUAACUAACUAAAUUACAUAAAUAUAGAGUAAAUGAAUGAUUGCAAAAGAAAACAAAUUGAAGUAGUGAUUGUGUUAGACAAAUGCAGAGACACCAACAAUCUAUAUUCUAUUCGGUAAAGUUUAUAGAGCAAACUCAACAGAGCUGCAAUCUAUUCUCUAUUACUCUAUUCUCUACAUGUUUAGUGGUGAUGAAUGAUCAACAAAUUCUACUCUUUGAUGAACAAUCAACAACUCAAGCAGACAAGCAGUCAAGGAAAUCGAUCAAGAAAGAAAAACAGUAGAAGAACUUUGAUGAAAAAAAAGAAAUUAACAUCUAAGAAGGAAAUAUGAGAUUAUCUUCGUAAAUAGUAUAUUACUGAUCCAACACCCGAUUGCUUCCAAUGAAAUCUGAUCUUUUGAGAAAUCAAAUUGGGGAUUAGGGUUUUUUUUCCUUCACUUUUCUGGGGAGGAAAUUGGGUUUAGAGACUAGAGAGGAUAUGAAAUAUGGGAAGAGAAGAAAGAUACGAGCAAGAAAAGAGGUGAAAUCAUCCAAAAAAAAGAAAAAAAAACACCAAUAAAAAGGAGGUUGGAGGCUAGGCCUCGAACUUAAGUUGUGAGGAUAACGCAGAAAGUCUCUAGCCAACUCUGCUAUAACCACUUAUGUGAAUAUAUUUACCUUUAUGAUAUAUACGUAUACAUACAUAUAUAUAUUUUUGGAGGGCCCCGAAAUUCGGAGGCCCUGUGCGACUGCACACGUCGCACAGCCCAAAGGCCGCCCCUGCAUCCGGGUGGCUGCCGUCUUCCUCCAGCCAUUUGUAAGCCGGGAGUCUCAUGCAUGGCUGUAAAUUCCUCACAGAUAGACAUUUGAAUUUUGAGGUUUAGGAUUUUCCAGUAGAUUCAUUCGUUUUGAACGAAACCUUAGUCUUGGUUUUUCAUUUUUUCUUAUAUACAUUUUCUGAUACCGGCUAUUGUUCGGAACCCUAGUUUGGCCGGUAAUGGAUCGAAAUGGGUAUGCAUGGGUAUCUAAUUAAGGACAUCUUCACUAAUAACACUAUUAUCUGUAUUUUAAUGGGAAAAUGCCCAUUUAGUAUUAAUUUAAGCCCCUUAUUUUCCAUUCCAAUGAUAAUCUUUUUCAUUAGCCCAUUUCAAUAUAAGGAAACAUUUUUUAUUCCCAAAUACACAAAUCUUUAUGCCCAAAUGCACAAAUCUUUACUAAAGUCUUAACAAAUUAUAUUAUUUUAAGACUAUUUUACCCUCACCUCUUAAACAUGUAUAGAGAGAGAAAAUGAAAGAGAGAAUACUUGGCCGGAAUCUCACCAGACUCCGGUCACUGGCUGUCGGACUCCGGUCACCUAAAUUUUCCUGAUCGCCGGACUCCGGCCACCGGAAUUUCCCCGACCACCGGACUCUGGUCACCGGAAUUUCCCCUGUAACUAGUUACUGACCCCCAAUAACCAGUUACUGACACCCAGUAACCAGUUACUGACACCCAGUAACCAGUUACUGACCUCCAGUAACCAGUUACUGACCUCCAGUAACCAGUUACUGACCAGUUAAUGACCCCAAAUAACCAGUUAAUGACCCCUAGUAACCAGUUACUGACCCCCAAUAAUUGGGUUACUGACCCCUAAUAAUCAGUUACUGAUCCCCAAUAAUCGGUUACUGACCCCCAAUAAUCAAUUAUUGACCCCCAAUAAUUGGGUUACUGACCCCUAAUAAUCAGUUAAUGAUCCCCAAUAAUCCGGUACUGACCCAAAUAACUUGGUUACUGACUCCCAAUAAUCAGUUACUGACCCCCAAUAAUCGGAUUACUGACCCUAAUAAGUUGGUUACUGACCCCUAAUAAUCAGUUAUUGACCCCAAUAAUCGGGUUACUACCCUCAAUAACUUUGUUACUAAUCCCCAAUUAUCAGGUAAUUGACCCCCCAAUAAUCAUCUUAUCAAGUUAUCCACCCUUAAUAAUCAGUUAAGACACAUAAAAAACGAAGAAGAUAGAAGAAAAAUAAUGUAUUUUCCCGCAAAAAUGAAAAACCUCGUUGAAAAAAAAAACAAAAAAUAAAGGAAUUAAUCCAACAUGUUUUGGUACUGAAGCAGGCCACAAUAUGUUGUAAUUACACACAAACACUCAUAUAUGAGAGAGCCGCAUAUCUAGUACCCUAGAAAGAGAGAGAAAACUAGAUCUGGAUGCUAAAAAAAUAAAAGAAAAACUAAACAAACUAUAAUGCUGUGCAAUUCCAUGGAUUCACCUACUUGUGCAAUUCCUAGAACUAAUAUCAAUGAUUGGACGACGGCCUUGAGCAUGGACAUCGGGAAACGUCGGCGGGCUCUAGCAAGCCGAGGCUGGCGAGGCAGAGCUAGCUUGGACGACUGUUGAGACGAAGGCGUGGAGGGACGGAUGAGAGGUUUAACGACGGCGCCGACGACUUGCGGGAUCAGAAGGUCUAGAUUGGGAUCGGUGGGUUUGGGAGGAGAGAGAGAGAGAGAGAGAGAGAGAGAGAGAGAGAGAGAGAGAGAGAGAGAGAGAGAGAGAGAGAGAGAG